CCCAGCCUCUGUCUGAUAUGUUUGAUAUUAAGUUGUUCUCCUGGGAAACCCAACUAAAUAUCAGACAUAUUCCGACAGCGACUGGG
rnacentral:pre_miRNA from 1 species